rnacentral:rRNA from 1 species
CUACGGGACGCUGCAGUGAGGAAUAUUGCACAAUGGGGGGAACCCUGAUGCGGCAACGCCGCGUGGAGGAUGACGCAUUUCGGUGUGUAAACUCCUUUUAUAUGUCAAGAAAAUGACGGUAGCAUAUGAAUAAGCACCGGCUAACUCCGUGCCAGCAGCCGCGGUAAUACGGAGGGUGCAAGCGUUACUCGGAAUCACUGGGCGUAAAGGACGCGUAGGCGGGUUGGAAAGUCAGGUGUGAAAUCCUAUAGCUUAACUGUAGAACUGCACUUGAAACUUCUAAUCUAGAGUAUGGGAGGGGGAGAUGGAAUUAGUGGUGUAGGGGUAAAAUCCGUAGAUAUCACUAGGAAUACCUAAAGCGAAGGCGAUCUCCUGGAACAUUACUGACGCUAAGGCGUGAAAGCGUGGGGAGCAAACAGGAUUAGAUACCCUAGUAGUC